rnacentral:rRNA from 1 species
GUACCCAUCCCGAACACGACCGUUAAGCCCUCCAGCGCCGAUGGUACUUGGACCGAAGGGUCCUGGGAGAGUAGGACGUUGCCAAGC